AACGAACGCUGGCGGCAUGCCUAACACAUGCAAGUCGAACGAGACCUUCGGGUCUGGUGGCGCACGGGUGCGUAACGCGUGGGAACCUGCCCUUAGGUUCGGAAUAACUCCCCGAAAGGGGUGCUAAUACCGGAUAAUGUCUUCGGACCAAAGAUUGAACGCCCUUGGAUGGGCCCGCGUUGGAUUAGCUAGUUGUUAGGGUAAAAGCCUACCAAGGCGACGAUACAUAGCUGGUCUGAGAGGAUGAGCAGCCACACUGGGACUGAGAAACGGCCCAGACUCUUACGCGAGGGAGGAGAGGGGAAUAUUGGAAAAUGGGGGAAAGCAUGAUGCAGCAAUGACGGGUGAGUGCUGAAGGUCUGAGGGUUGUAAAGCUAUUUUACACGGGAUGAUAAUGACAGUACCGGGAGAAUAAGCACCGGCUAACUUCGUG
rnacentral:rRNA from 1 species